AGAUUAAGUUAUUAAGGGCGCACGGUGGAUGCCUUGGCACUAGAAGCCGAUGAAGGACGUUACUAACGACGAUAUGCUUUGGGUAGCUGUAAGUAAGCGUUGAUCCAGAGAUUUCCGAAUGGGGGAACCCAGCAUGAGUUAUGUCAUGUUAUCGACAUGUGAAUUCAUAGCAUGUCAGAAGGCAGACCCGGAGAACUGAAACAUCUUAGUACCCGGAGGAAGAGAAAGAAAAAUCGAUUCCCUGAGUAGCGGCGAGCGAAACGGGAAGAGCCCAAACCAACAAGCUUGCUUGUUGGGGUUGUAGGACACUCUAUACGGAGUUACAAAAGAACAUGUUAGACGAAUCAUCUGGAAAGAUGAAUCAAAGAAGGUAAUAAUCCUGUAGUCGAAAACAUAUUCUCUCUUGAGUGGAUCCUGAGUACGACGGAGCACGUGAAAUUCCGUCGGAAUCUGGGAGGACCAUCUCCUAAGGCUAAAUACUCUCUAGUGACCGAUAGUGAACCAGUACCGUGAGGGAAAGGUGAAAAGUACCCCGGAAGGGGAGUGAAAGAGAACUUGAAACCGUGUGCUUACAAGUAGUCAGAGCCCGUUAAUGGGUGAUGGCGUGCCUUUUGUAGAAUGAACCGGCGAGUUACGAUCUGAUGCAAGGUUAAGCAGCAAAUGUGGAGCCGCAGCGAAAGCGAGUCUGAAUAGGGCGUUGAGUAUUUGGUCGUAGACCCGAAACCAGGUGAUCUACCCUUGGUCAGGUUGAAGUUCAGGUAACACUGAAUGGAGGACCGAACCGACUUACGUUGAAAAGUGAGCGGAUGAACUGAGGGUAGCGGAGAAAUUCCAAUCGAACUUGGAGAUAGCUGGUUCUCUCCGAAAUAGCUUUAGGGCUAGCCUCAAGUGAUGAUUAUUGGAGGUAGAGCACUGUUUGGACGAGGGGCCCCUCUCGGGUUACCGAAUUCAGACAAACUCCGAAUGCCAAUUAAUUUAACUUGGGAGUCAGAACAUGGGUGAUAAGGUCCGUGUUCGAAAGGGAAACAGCCCAGACCACCAGCUAAGGUCCCAAAAUAUAUGUUAAGUGGAAAAGGAUGUGGCGUUGCCCAGACAACUAGGAUGUUGGCUUAGAAGCAGCCAUCAUUUAAAGAGUGCGUAAUAGCUCACUAGUCGAGUGACACUGCGCCGAAAAUGUACCGGGGCUAAACAUAUUACCGAAGCUGUGGAUUGUCCUUUGGACAAUGGUAGGAGAGCGUUCUAAGGGCGUCGAAGCAUGAUCGCAAGGACAUGUGGAGCGCUUAGAAGUGAGAAUGCCGGUGUGAGUAGCGAAAGACGGGUGAGAAUCCCGUCCACCGAUUGACUAAGGUUUCCAGAGGAAGGCUCGUCCGCUCUGGGUUAGUCGGGUCCUAAGCUGAGGCCGACAGGCGUAGGCGAUGGAUAACAGGUUGAUAUUCCUGUACCACCUAGUAUCGUUUUAAUCGAUGGGGGGACGCAGUAGGAUAGGCGAAGCGUGCUGUUGGAGUGCACGUCCAAGCAGUAAGGCUGAGUGUUAGGCAAAUCCGGCACUCAUAAGGCUGAGCUGUGAUGGGGAGAGGAAAUUGUUUCCUCGAGUCGUUGAUUUCACACUGCCGAGAAAAGCCUCUAGAUAGAUAACAGGUGCCCGUACCGCAAACUGACACAGGUAGUCAAGAUGAGAAUUCUAAGGUGAGCGAGCGAACUCUCGUUAAGGAACUCGGCAAAAUGACCCCGUAACUUCGGGAGAAGGGGUGCUCUUUAGGGUUCACGCCCAGAAGAGCCGCAGUGAAUAGGCCCAAGCGACUGUUUAUCAAAAACACAGGUCUCUGCUAAACCGUAAGGUGAUGUAUAGGGGCUGACGCCUGCCCGGUGCUGGAAGGUUAAGAGGAGUGGUUAGCUUCUGCGAAGCUACGAAUCGAAGCCCCAGUAAACGGCGGCCGUAACUAUAACGGUCCUAAGGUAGCGAAAUUCCUUGUCGGGUAAGUUCCGACCCGCACGAAAGGCGUAACGAUUUGGGCACUGUCUCAACGAGAGACUCGGUGAAAUCAUAGUACCUGUGAAGAUGCAGGUUACCCGCGACAGGACGGAAAGACCCCGUGGAGCUUUACUGUAGCCUGAUAUUGAAAUUCGGCACAGCUUGUACAGGAUAGGUAGGAGCCUUUGAAACGUGAGCGCUAGCUUACGUGGAGGCGUUGGUGGGAUACUACCCUAGCUGUGUUGGCUUUCUAACCCGCACCACUUAUCGUGGUGGGAGACAGUGUCAGGCGGGCAGUUUGACUGGGGCGGUCGCCUCCUAAAAGGUAACGGAGGCGCUCAAAGGUUCCCUCAGAAUGGUUGGAAAUCAUUCAUAGAGUGUAAAGGCAUAAGGGAGCUUGACUGCGAGACCUACAAGUCGAGCAGGGUCGAAAGACGGACUUAGUGAUCCGGUGGUUCCGCAUGGAAGGGCCAUCGCUCAACGGAUAAAAGCUACCCCGGGGAUAACAGGCUUAUCUCCCCCAAGAGUUCACAUCGACGGGGAGGUUUGGCACCUCGAUGUCGGCUCAUCGCAUCCUGGGGCUGUAGUCGGUCCCAAGGGUUGGGCUGUUCGCCCAUUAAAGCGGUACGCGAGCUGGGUUCAGAACGUCGUGAGACAGUUCGGUCCCUAUCCGUCGUGGGCGUAGGAAAUUUGAGAGGAGCUGUCCUUAGUACGAGAGGACCGGGAUGGACAUACCUCUGGUGUACCAGUUGUCGUGCCAACGGCAUAGCUGGGUAGCUAUGUAUGGACGGGAUAAGUGCUGAAAGCAUCUAAGCAUGAAGCCCCCCUCAAGAUGAGAUUUCCCAACUUCGGUUAUAAGAUCCCUCGAAGAUGACGAGGUUAAUAGGUUUGAGGUGGAAGCGUGGUGACACGUGGAGCUGACGAAUACUAAUCGAUCGAAGACUUAAUCAAUUUUUAAA
rnacentral:rRNA from 1 species